AAUCAUUCAACGGUCGACGACAUUAUAGUUAUACACCAAUUUAAAUAUAAUAAUAAUGUACCAAAUAAUAAAAUCUCUUAUCGUUUACCAACUACCAAAAUCGUAAAUAUUUUGUCGGACUUUAGGUACGAAGCGGUUGAUAAAAAAAUAGCCUAAUUUGAAAUAUUUCGUACGGUGGGAAGGCUAUCAAUGUUUUAUUGGUGGUAAGUUUGGCAGGUGUAACGGAGUAAAAAAUAAAUCAUUCCAAACAAAAAUACCAUUUGUGAACUGACCGCAUUAGACUGCAGUAUGAUGUUUGUUUUAUAGUCCAUUUUCUCUAUUUGUUGUAGCCUAGAUAUUCAUACAAUUAAAAGCUAUAUAAAUAUUUAAAUUUUUAUUCGUUUUGUGUUUUUAAAAAACAGUUAUCUAUACGGGAAAACGUUUCAAUACCAAACGAAAAAUAACUCUGAACAUAAGUCAUAUUUUUCUCUUAUUUACAUGGUAACCAGAAAAUCAACAAAAAUUGUAUAAACGAUUGACAGUUAUUCCCAACUAUUAUAAAAUAUCCUUGAAAAAUGAAAAAAAAAAAAAAAAAAAAAAAAAAUGAUAUUUUCAAUUCACCAACACGAUCUAAAAUGAAAUAAAAAAAGGU